rfam:Paenibacillus sp. FSL R5-0912, complete genome.
UAUUCGUAUAAUUCCGGGGAUUGGCCCGGAAGUCUCUACGAGGUCACCGUAAUGACCUGGCUACGAUUA